ensembl:lncRNA
GUCAGGCGUUUUUCAGGAGCGCGCUGCUAACGGCCUUACGUGCUGUAUCAGUCUGCGAGGGCUGCCGUGACAAAGAACCACAGCUUGCAGGGUUCUAACAGCAGAAGUUUGUUUUCUCACGAUUGUAGACGCCGGGAAGUCAGAGAUCAAGGUGUGGGGAGGGUGGGUUUCUCCUGAGGCCUCUCUCCUCGGCGUGUGGACGGCUGCCUUCGCCCGGUGUCCUCGCGCGGUCGUCCCUCUGUGCGUGUCUGUGUCCUGAUCUCGCCUCCUUAUAAGAACCCCAGUCCUAGUGGCUUAGGGCCCGCCUGACCUCGUCUUAACUUCUUAUCUCUUUAAAGACCCUGUCUCCAAACACGGUCACGUUCUGAGGGUCAGGGGGUUAGGACUUCAACGCAUGAAGCAACCCAGCCUGUGACAUCUGCUUUCUCUCUCUUCCUCCUCACCCUGGGGAGCUCCCAUGAAUCUAUUUCUUAUCCUGUUUUAACAAUAAGGAGACGUCUGUGUUGGAAACAAUCAAAUCAUUUGCAAUCAAACCGUCUCUCCCUCUGAACAAACAGAACCGCUCGUCCUGGUUGUGUGGGUGCGGUGCGGGAUCCGCGCCGGAGCUGGCUGAAGAACCACUGCGAUGAUGUUCUUGUGUCCACCGUGGGUGAGACCAGGAGGCUCUGACAACAGACAUGCGGCUUUUCCCUCGUGGUGGUGGCUCUCAAGGGCUCCUUCCUCGCACGUGCAAACACACCCACCCCCCCCCCCACCCAGUAUUUCCCAAAAUGCGUAUGGAGCACAUCCUAUGAGAGCAAUUAAUGUGCAUCCCAUGGAGGGAGGUUUUUUUUCAACCAAAUACGGUUGUGAAGUAUUACGUAAACAAUAUAGAAUAGACUUCCUUGCUGCAGGAUUUCUUGGAAUCUCUAAUACGCUAUGUGACGUGUGAAUCUCUCAGAUGGCAUUAGAGCAGGGGUCGGCAAACUUUAUCUGUAAAGCACUGGCUACCAAGUAUUUCAGGCUUUGUGGGUCACGUGAUCUCCAUUGCACUACUCAACCCUGCUGUCGUAACCUGAGAGGAGCCGUGGACAACAUGUAAGUGAAUGUGUGGCCCUGUUCUAAUAAAACUUUAUUUACAAAAACAAGCAGCAGGCCAGAGUUGGCCUACAGGCCGUAGUUUGCUGGCCCCGUCUUGGAGAUGGAGUUUUUUCCAAAUGUAUUGGAACGUGGAGUUCUUUUUUCAAGAAGUGCUCACGUCCCGCAGAUCACACUCUUCUUUCCAACAACCCUUGGUGCUCAGUUGGGCGCCUUCGCACUGUUUCAUGUCCACCCUGUCUGUGUCGACGUCCCCGCCUGCUGGGAUAGUGUUUUAUGACGCUGGCCCCUGGACUGAGACGAGUCAUCUAGGCUCCAGGCUUGACCCUAAGGAAUCUGAACCACCUUGGGCUGGAGGAUUCCCCAGCGAGGGCCCUCGCGUGCAAUUUUUGGGACUUUUGGGUUCAGCAGAACUUGAGACACCUCGCCACGUGUGUGAUCACGCUGGUGGCUCUGAAUUCGCUUUGGAAGGAGAGUUUUGGAAAAUGGGGAACUGUGUGAAUUAAGACGGACAUGGAUAUAGUCUUUCAAGGAAUCUCACACGUGGGUGGACACAUCUAUCUUGAGUUUCAUCCACUCGGGGCCAACUUCUUUCUGGCACGAAGGGUGCAAGCUUGGAGCACAGACCCAGCCACCGGAUAUUUCAAAUGAUUUGAUGCUGGGGCCUCCUAUGGUCAGAAGAUGGGGAUCCUUCAAUUGGAGUCAUCGCCCAUCCGCUCACGAGGGUGUUGGGGAAUUCUGGCAGCCUGCCUUUGAAUCCUGGCUCCAUCACUGAGUGACAGACUUUGGGCAAAUCAUAGAACCUCUCUUAGCCUCAGUCCCCUCAGGUGUAAAAUGGGAAUAAAAUAACACCUUCCUCGGAAGGGCUUAAAUGAUCUCAUGCCUUUCAUGGUCAGUCCGGGGCCGGGUACCCAGCAAUGGGCUUAAAAAGC